GACAGAGGGUGCAAACGUUGCUCGGAAUUACUGGGCGUAAAGCGCGUGUAGGUGGAUUGGUGUGUCAGAUGUGAAAGCCCUGGGCUCAACCCAGGAACUGCACCUGAAACUACCAGUCUUGAGUGGUGGAGAGGGAAGUGGAAUUCCUGGUGUAGAGGUGAAAUUCGUAGAUAUCAGGAGGAACACCAGUGGCGAAGGCGGCUUCCUGGACACUAACUGACGCUGAGGCGCGAAAGCUAGGGGUAGCAAAACGGGAUUAGAACU
rnacentral:rRNA from 1 species